GUGCAGGCUGUCACAGGUGGUCAGGAGGCGGCUAUCCUAUGGUGGUCAGGAGUAGAGCCAAUCCUACGUUGGGGAGGAGUAGAGACAUUAACACACUGGUCAGGAGGUGCCUCUCUAUCUCUCUCUCUCUCUGGUGGUCAGGAGUAGAGACAAUCCUACGGUGGUCAGAAGGAGUAGAGACAUUAACACAGUGGUUAGGAGGUGCCUCUCUAUCUCUCUCUCUCUUCCUCCUCUCCCUUCCCUCUCUCUUCCUCUUGGCUUUACUUUAAUACACAUGAAAAGGAAUGUGGUUUUGAGAUGGUUAGGUUAGGUUUUGGGUGUGAGAGAGAGAGAGAGUGAGUUAAUAUAACCUGGCAGCAGCCCGGAGGUUAAUAAUAUACAAUGAACAGAGAUGAUUAGUUGCAUAUGCUGGAGGCGUUCAGUCUGGUCACUUGAUUGACAAAAACUUUCAAUAUAGAAACAUAGUCAACAUAGAGUCAACAUAUAGAUUUAUUAUAGAUGUGGUGGUAUUUAAGCUGGACUUGUAAACAUUCUUGUGACCUGAUGUUAGCGCUGACUGCCUGGGGUGUUGAUUCUCUACCUCACUACAGACGAACCACGUGGUCUUGGGGGGGGUCCUCCGCAGGGUGUUGGAGAUGGUUCUUGUCCCUUGUGAUGUAGUUAGGGAGUCGUCAUUUCUCUCCCAGUGUAGUUUGCGGUGUUUCUAGGCUUCUCAUCCAGUGGUGGGGGUGAGUGUAUGGUGGACAGGGUGCUUCAGGUCAGGUCGACAUUGGCUGUUAAGUACCGAGUGUCGCCCUAAUAGUUUUGUUCCUAUAUUUUGAGUUGAAAUUGUCACUAUUGUAUAUCAGUUGUUGGUCGAUGGUCAAACUUUGCACUGUACUGUUGGUGUGAGGAUGUUGAUGAAUCCGGAUGGGGCGGGGGGAGGGGGGUUACAGACGUAGUUAUUACACAGGGUGGUCCAUAAAUAGCUUCAAUAAUUCAUCGUGUGUAUUACUGAGGCACAAAUAAAGUUAAUGACUAAAUGACUUAAUUAAUUGUAAAUAGUUUGAGAGUUACAAUAGAUUAUGGCAGGUGUGGUAGGUGGGGCUCAUGGCCACCUCAGUCAUGGCCACCUCAGUCAUGGCCACCUCACAUAAACCCCCUUCAUUACUACCUGUAGGGCCACAUAAACCAAGGUGUAUGGCAUUGAGGAACAGGGUGACGAACAUUAACAUCACCUUUAGGGCCCGUGACCUCGUGUGUGAUAGUUACUUGUGAUCAGCUGUAGUUUGCAUUAAGUAAUCAGGGGGUGGACUGUAUUACUGUUGACAUUUAACAAUUCAGUCAUUAACUUUAUUUGUGUCUCGGUAAUACACGCCAUGGUUUAUUAAAACUAUUUAUGGACCACCCUGUAUAAUAGCAUCACUUAUGGACCACCCUGUAUAAUAGAAGUCUGAAAAUAUCAAUCCUCAUGUCAAGUGCCAGUCUUUACGAUGUGUCUGUCUGUCUGUCUGUGUCUGUAUAUUUGAAUGUAUGCCUAAAUCACGACAAAUUUUUCAUUAGGGUCCGAUUCCGUGUGUUUACCUCUGACGACGUUGAUAUAUUGUUUCGUAGUCUCGGAAUAUUGGCGUUUAUCAGACACGAGGGUGGUGUAGGAAUGGCUUCGAAUGAGACUGUGUGUGUGUGUAAUUUUAGACCUUAUGGCUUACCUGACGAUUAGCACCCCCCCCCCCAAGUAAUCAUUUUCAUGUUAGCUCCCAAGAUAGUUAUGGGGUGGUUAGAUUUGGUUGGGUGGAGGUGGCUUAAGGUGAGCACUUGGGGGAAAUAAUCUACAGGUAAACACAUGGUGGGGAGCUAAUCUACAGGUAAACACGUGGUGGGGAGCUAAUCUACAGGUAAACACGUGGUGGGGAGCUAAUCUACAGGUAAACACGUGGUGGGGAGCUAAUCUACAGGUAAACACGUGGUGGGGAGCUAAUCUACAGGUGAUAAGGACCACAUCACCCCUAGUUCACCCCACAAGUCAAUAAACGAAUUCAGAUACGACCAAAAAAAAAA